rnacentral:rRNA from 1 species
CAGUCGCCGCGGUAAUACGUAGGGUGCAAGCGUUAAUCGGAAUUACUGGGCGUAAAGCGUGCGCAGGCGGUUUUGUAAGACAGAGGUGAAAUCCCCGGGCUCAACCUGGGAACUGCCUUUGUGACUGCAAGGCUAGAGUACGGCAGAGUGGGAUGGAAUUCCGCGUGUAGCAGUGAAAUGCGUAGAUAUGCGGAGGAACACCGAUGGCGAAGGCAAUCCCCUGGGCCUGUACUGACGCUCAUGCACGAAAGCGUGGGGAGCAAACAGGAUUAGAUACCCCGGUAGUCCCUGUCUCUUAUAC